UAACUGGGCGUAAAGGGCACGCAGGCGGUGACUUAAGUGAGGUGUGAAAGCCCCGGGCUUAACCUGGGAAUUGCAUUUCAUACUGGGUCGCUAGAGUACUUUAGGGAGGGGUAGAAUUCCACGUGUAGCGGUGAAAUGCGUAGAGAUGUGGAGGAAUACCGAAGGCGAAGGCAGCCCCUUGGGAAUGUACUGACGCUCAUGUGCGAAAGCGUGGGUAGCAAACAGGAUUAGAUACCCUGGUAGUCCACGCCCUAAACGAUGUCGAUUAGCUGUUGGGCAGCAUGACUGCUUAGUAGCGAAGCUAACGCGUGAAAUCGACCGCCUGGGGAGUACGGUCGCAAGAUUAAAACUCAAAGGAAUUGACGGGGACCCGCACAAGCGGUGGAUGAUGUGGAUUAAUUCGAUGCAACGCGAAGAACCUUACCUGGUCUUGACAUGUACGGAACCCUCCAGAGACGGAGGGGUGCCUUCGGGAGCCGUAACACAGGUGCUGCAUGGCUGUCGUCAGCUCGUGUCGUGAGAAG
rnacentral:rRNA from 1 species